rnacentral:rRNA from 1 species
CCUACGGGAGGCAGCAGUGGGGAAUUUUGGACAAUGGGCGCAAGCCUGAUCCAGCAAUGCCGCGUGAGUGAAGAAGGCCUUCGGGUUGUAAAGCUCUUUUGUCAGGGAAGAAACGGUGGGGGCUAAUAUCCUCCACUAAUGACGGUACCCGAAGAAUAAGCACCGGCUAACUACGUGCCAGCAGCCGCGGUAAUACGUAGGGUGCAAGCGUUAAUCGGAAUUACUGGGCGUAAAGCGUGCGCAGGCGGUUUUGUAAGUCUGUCGUGAAAGCCCCGGGCUCAACCUGGGAAUUGCGAUGGAGACUGCAAGGCUUGAAUCUGGCAGAGGGGGGUAGAAUUCCACGUGUAGCAGUGAAAUGCGUAGAGAUGUGGAGGAACACCGAUGGCGAAGGCAGCCCCCUGGGUCAAGAUUGACGCUCAUGCACGAAAGCGUGGGGAGCAAACAGGAUUAGAUACCCUGGUAGUCCACGCCCUAAACGAUGUCUACUAGUUGUCGGGUUUUAAUUAACUUGGUAACGCAGCUAACGCGUGAAGUAGACCGCCUGGGGGAGGUACGGUCGGCGAGAAGUAAACGUAACGUUAAAGAAAGUUAGUUACGGCGUGAGACGUUGCCGACGGACGACCGACGAGGGGAGGUUAGGAG